ACACUCCUGCGGGAGGCAGCAGUGGGGAAUUUUGGACAAUGGGCGAAAGCCUGAUCCAGCAAUGCCGCGUGUGUGAAGAAGGCCUUCGGGUUGUAAAGCACUUUUGUCCGGAAAGAAAUCCUUGGCUCUAAUACAGUCGAGGGAUGACGGUACCGGAAGAAUAAGCACCGGCUAACUACGUGCCAGCAGCCGCGGUAAUACGUAGGGUGCGAGCGUUAAUCGGAAUUACUGGGCGUAAAGCGUGCGCAGGCGGUUUGCUAAGACCGAUGUGAAAUCCCCGGGCUCAACCUGGGAACUGCAUUGGUGACUGGCAGGCUAGAGUAUGGCAGAGGGGGGUAGAAUUCCACGUGUAGCAGUGAAAUGCGUAGAGAUGUGGAGGAAUACCGAUGGCGAAGGCAGCCCCCUGGGCCAAUACUGACGCUCAUGCACGAAAGCGUGGGGAGCAAACAGGAUUAGAUACCCGAGUAGUCCCAUG
rnacentral:rRNA from 1 species